ACGAACGCUGGCGGCGUGCCUAAUCCCUGCAAGUCGAGCGGACGGAUGGGAGCUUGCUCCCAGACCGUCAGCGGCGGACGGGUGAGUAACACGUGGGCAACCUGCCUGUAAGACUGGGAUAACUCCGGGAAACCGGGGCUAAUACCGGAUAACUCUUUCCCUCACAUGAGGGACAGCUGAAAGAUGGCCUCUCGCUAUCACUUACAGAUGGGCCCGCGGCGCAUUAGCUAGUUGGUGAGGUAACGGCUCACCAAGGCGACGAUGCGUAGCCGACCUGAGAGGGUGAUCGGCCACACUGGGACUGAGACACGGCCCAGACUCCUACGGGAGGCAGCAGUAGGGAAUCUUCCGCAAUGGACGAAAGUCUGACGGAGCAACGCCGCGUGAGUGAUGAAGGUUUUCGGAUCGUAAAACUCUGUUGUCAGGGAAGAACAAGUACCGGAGUAACUGCCGGUACCUUGACGGUACCUGACCAGAAAGCCACGGCUAACUACGUG
rnacentral:rRNA from 1 species